rnacentral:rRNA from 1 species
AUGUUAAUCGACAAAACUUGCUGGAAAGACAAGGAUUUGCCGAAGUCAAAGAAAAAUGACGAAGUAGAGUCUCAGGAUAGCAUUGAUAUGUUCAAGCUCUGCAACUUGAAGCCAGCUUUGCCAACCACCUUUCCUAUGCCAGAUUUUAGCAACCAAGAUAUGUGUGAGCAGAUCAACUUUGCCAUUGACAAGAGCCUGUUCUUAUCAAGUGUUGCUGAAAAGAAUCAAAUUGACAUGGAGGAAGCAGGAAAGGGUCUUGACUGGGUUCAUUCAAAAGAAAAAUACAAGGAAUAUUUGAAGCAGCUUCCAGACCUAAGCUCCGGCAAGAGCAAGGCAACAUCCAUGGCAAACCCUCACGUGGUGCAGAAGGGUAAAGCAGUUUCAAUGAAGAAGAAUCUGCAGUUGCCUGAAACCAAGGAGAAGAUGGUGAGUGCAGAUGCUGAAGUAAAUAUGGUCAAGGAAGCUAUGCUUCAAACUGAUAUGCCAACUGUAGUGAGCAGAGAGCCAACCACCAUCACAGGAGUUCAACAGAUCAAGGGGAAGACUCCCCUUUCAACAGUCCCACCAAAACCACCUAAGCAGCAAAAGAUUGUCAAGUUUGCCAGGGGCACAAAGGGGGAACAAGCCACAAAAGGUUUGGGGUUCAGAGACGAGAGAGAACUGCGAGCCGCAACCAUUGAUGCAGGGGUGCCAAGUUCUGCUAGGUUGCUGCCAACUCAGACUGGAAAGAUGCCAACUACAGAUACCAGUGUGCCAACUGAUGUGUCAGCUAGCAGCAUGGUCACAGUCAAAACCACCACAGCUUCUCAGGAAGGCACCACUGCAACUGCAAGCCCCAAGGUGCCUACUCAUAGAGAUGCUUCAAUGCCAAACACAAAAGAAGGUGAUCCUACUACCAAAUUGUCGUCCCCAAGAGCCAGCACACAGCAGCCAAGCAAGCCUACAUCACCAAGAGCUGACUCUCAGCAACCAUUAACACAAGAGGAGGUGUUCAAGAUUAUAAGUAGGUGCAAGCCUCCAAGGCCGCAAACUACAACACUAUCGCGAACCAACUCAGUGAACGAUGCACCCGUGUUUGUGCCGCAAGGAGAUGCCCUGGUCCUUGAACCCAUACGAAGAUCAAAGUCUUAUCAUGGUGACGGGUUCUGUGAUGCACCAUCUUUUGACCUCGGCAUAGAUGGUCAUGCUCCAGCACCUGCUCCAGCAGCAGAAACAGCGGAAGACUGUGUGAUUAGUAUUGAUGAGUCAUCUCAAAGGUCUCCAUUCAUUGACUACAACAAGAAGAAGUCUUUCAGCUCCAAUGAGGCAGUGAACAAGCUUUACGCUGCCCUCUUGUAUUGGGUCAGGCAUCACGAAGGAGCAAAUGAUGAAGCUACCAGGUAUGGUGAUUUCUACAUUUCUUUAAAGGAGUUAGUUGAUUCGAUGAAGCCGGUUCAGUGGCUGUCAAAAAUUGUUAUUGAGAUUGGAAUCUUACACAUCAUGGAGAGCUUACCCGAAGGGUCAAAGAAGGUUGUUAUGCCACUGAGGUUUUCGAUGAAUUUAUAG